CCAACUCUCGACAUCUUCUUCCUCCCCAAGAAGAUUCCUAAAAAAAUUAAAGCAUCUCUCUUCUUCCUAAACAUCAACGAGAGGAGACUUCUGGGCGCCAUCUAGAUUAAAAAGGAAAUACAACAAAAACAUUCCUUCCAAUGAUGUGUCCUACCAACAAGUUAAGAAAAGUCAACCACUACUAGUUUCAUCCGGUUCUGAAACCAAAGAACAACAAGUAAUCAACAUGCCAUCACAUCAAUACAAGCCAUAUGUAAGGAAUUACAAUUUUAAGGCACAUAUGAAUGUUGAAUGGUGCUGUUCAACCGAAACGAGAAAGUAUUUAUUUAAAUACAUCAAAAAAAGGGGUUGACAAAGCUACAAUUGUUGUAGAGAGGGCCUCGGGGUCGGUGGUAAAAACAAAAGGCGAGUCAAACUAUGUUGACGAGAUUAAAAAAUUUCAAGAAUGUCGAUAUAUUUCAGCAUGUGAGGCAAUGUGGAGGAUAUUUCGUUUGAUAUUCACUAUAGCAGACCAGCCGUUCAACACCUUUCUUUGCACCUGCCUGACCAACAACCUCUUAUAUUCGAUGCAAACCAAAGUCUCGACAGUGUCAUUUCACGAGAUGGAGUUGACAGGACAAUGUUUACAGAGUGGAUGAAGAUUAAUCAAAGUGACGAAGAAGCCAAAAGUAUGACAUAUGUUCAAUUCCCAACUCGGUUUGUCUGGAAUACCACGACAAAAAAAUGGACAAAAAGAAAACAAGGUUUCAAAAAGUUUGAAGCACUCGAUAUCUAAAAGUGCGCAAAAAACAAAUCAUCUCAUCUGAUUCUGAAGAACAUUUAGACGGCGAAGAGGCGACACCUUAGCACAUCUAUUAUUGUAACUUGACGUUACUAUCUUUACAAUUUCCUAUAUUAGUCUACUUCUCAAAUCUUUAGUUUCACAAGUUAUUUUUAUUUCACAAGUUAUUUCUCUUUAUACAUUUUGUUUCUUUCUCUGGUUCUGUAAUAAACCAUUAUCUUAUCACUAUAGUUUGAGCACCA
rnacentral:misc_RNA from 1 species